rnacentral:lncRNA from 1 species
AAUGGUUAAAAAUUAGAUAAUUUAAAUUUAACAAAACAAUACAUAUUUUUUGACCACUUGACGUAGGACAAGAAUUUGUUUAUUGUUGUCAUUACUUGACUUGAUCUAGACUUGACCCAACCUAUUGCCACCUCUACCUGCCAUUGUAACAAUUUCUUCCACUACUAUCACCUAACCUGAGCUUGGUUAAAGUUAACCAUAGUUGGAAAAAAUCAAAAUGCCCUUUAGGGUUUGUUUGUUUGGGGUAGGCUUAUGAGAUAUUCUGACAAUUUUUGAAAUCAUUUAUUUGAAAAAAUGAUUGCGGAGAAAAAUAAAUUUUACCAUAUUUAGUUGGUAAAAAAUUACUCUAAAAAAUAUCAACGGAAAAAUAUUACUAUGUUUGGUUCGAAGUAACUUAUAUAGGAAUAUUGCCAAAUUUUCAACAAUACCCUUGAGUAAAUUUAAGUAAUAACAUUUUUUUCUCAAUCCAUUUAUUAGCUAUUCAUAGCCCAUUAUAUAAACAUUAUCAAUAUUGG